rnacentral:rRNA from 1 species
AGUGAACGCUGGCGGUAGGCCUAACACAUGCAAGUCGAACGGCAGCACAGUAAGAGCUUGCUCUUACGGGUGGCGAGUGGCGGAUGGGUGAGGAAUACAUCGGAAUCUACUUUUUCGUGGGGGAUAACGUAGGGAAACUUACGCUAAUACCGCAUACGACCUACGGGUGAAAGCAGGGGAUCUUCGGACCUUGCGCGAUUGAAUGAGCCGAUGUCGGAUUAGCUAGUUGGCGGGGUAAAGGCCCACCAAGGCGACGAUCCGUGGCUGGUCUGAGAGGAUGAUCAGCCACACUGGAACUGAGACACGGUCCAGACUCCUACGGGAGGCAGCAGUGGGGAAUAUUGGACAAUGGGCGCAAGCCUGAUCCAGCCAUACCGCGUGGGUGAAGAAGGCCUUCGGGUUGUAAAGCCCUUUUGUUGGGAAAGAAAAGCAGCAGGUUAAUACCCCGCUGUUCUGACGGUACCCAAAGAAUAAGCACCGGCUAACUUCGUG